AACCUUUACACUGCACGACAGUGCGAUAGGGGGACACCGAGUGCGAGGGCAUAGAGCGCUCGCUUUUGUAGACCGUAAGGAGGUCUACGAAUAAGGGCUGGGCAAGACCGGUGCCAGCCGCCGCGGUAACACCGGCAGCCCAAGUGAUGGCCGAUAUUAUUGGGCCUAAAGCGUCCGUAGCUGGCCACACAAGUCCGUCGGGAAAUCCACUCGCUUAACGAGUGGGCGUCCGGCGGAAACUGUGCGGCUUGGGACCGGAAGAUCCGAGGGGUACGUCUGGGGUAGGAGUGAAAUCCCGUAAUCCUGGACGGACCACCGAUGGCGAAAGCACCUCGGAAGGACGGAUCCGACAGUGAGGGACGAAAGCUAGGGUCUCGAACCGGAUUAGAUACCCGGGUAGUCCUAGCCGUAAACGAUGCUCGCUAGGUGUGGCGCAGGCUACGAGCCUGCGCUGUGCCGUAGGGAAGCCGUGAAGCGAGCCGCCUGGGAAGUACGUCUGCAAGGAUGAAACUUAA
rnacentral:rRNA from 1 species